CGAGGCAAAAGUUUAAAGUUUGAGUUUGUGAGAGAAGAAAAGAAAUGAAGAAAAACAUGGGAAAGUCGGUGUCUAGUCCAGAAGCACAUGCAUGCGAGAUAACAACGGAGGAAUUGAUCUCCAUGUUCCCAUCACGCAAACAAGAAAAACAAAGCAGCAAAUGUUUGGUCUACACUUUGGCUUCCUUUGUUACCCUUUUCUUCGUUUGGUUUGUUUUUGCAUCCAUCGUGUUGCGCGUCCAAGAUCCCGAUAUUGAAUUGAAAUCAGCCAGGUUGUCGAGGCACAACACUGAUCAUCAUCACUAUAAUCAUUCCUUUGAUGUCACCAUGAUCGCUCGCGUGACCCUUACGAACCCAAAUUUCGGUCCUUUCUAUAACGGGGACAGUAGAGUGAGUGUGCUCUAUGGGGCUUCCACUGUUGGUGCUUCCCAAUUAUUGGAAGGUGCCACAGUGGAGCCUAGACAAACCAAGGAAUUCAAUUUCAAGCUACACAUGAGGUUCACCAAAUCGGCCAAUGCAAAUCUAACCAAUGAUAUCACUUCAGGCAUGCUCAAACUCACAAGCUACGCAAAACUAAGUGGUACGGUGCACGUCCUCAACAUCGUAAACAAGAAAAAGACCAUACUCAUGGCUUGUAUUAUAAAUCUCAACAUAACCUCCUACUCCAUUCACCAUUUCCAAUGCUAAUGCAGAAGUGAAGUGAUAAUGUUGGUGGUACUAGCAUGUUGAGAGUGAUUGAGAUGAUCUUGGCUAGCACUUAGCAAUGUUUAUGGUGGUGGAUCAAUCGUUGGUGUGGCUUGCUAUAAACAUUAUAACGCUGAAGCAAGUAAGAACUUUAACCAAGUUUCAGUAAUAGAAUUGGAGAAAGAAAGCUGAGAUAAGCAUUUGUAUGGUGUAUUUAUAGAAGAAUGUGAUGGGGCAUCCUGUUAGUCCAUGCUUAACAUUGACAUGAGAUCCACUCUCGAGAAUGGACAUGUGUGUGUUCUAACACCUGUCAUGCAUUUUGCAUUAGGCCUUUACAGUGACUCAUACAAAUCCAAAAUUUCCUCAC